UUUUCUCUGUGUGCUAAUCUGUACAUUGGCUCUACUGCACAGAACACAGAAAUGCUUUUGAGCUGCUUAAGAGAAUAACCUUUUAUUUCUUCCUGGUAUAUUUCGUCCUGCUUUGGUUUGACGCUAUAGAUAAUACAGGAUAUUGGACAACACUACCCUCUAGUGUACAUUACUUCUUGAAAGACAGAAACAGGAAAAAAAAACAGGUUACAUUGAAGAAGCUGCAAUUGAAAAUGGUAGGCAAGCAAAGAAAGAAAAGUAUUAUGCCUGCAAUACAGCAGUUGGGUUCACAUGCAUGGUCUGGACCGAACUUGGAGCUCCACAGGUACAGGCCCAGGGGGCCGUGCAGUGUUUCGUAAGGACUGCCGAAAGCGUUGUACAUGAAGAACGCCGA